rnacentral:sRNA from 3 species
ACGAUGUUCCGCUGCAAUGAAGAAAGAGGACAUGAGCAUCUG